GACGAACGCUGGCGGCGUGCUUAACACAUGCAAGUCGAACGGAAAGUCCCUGCUUUUGUGGGGUGCUCGAGUGGCGAACGGGUGAGUAACACGUGAGUAACCUGCCCUUGACUUUGGGAUAACUUCAGGAAACUGGGGCUAAUACCGGCUAGGAGCUCCUGCUGCAUGGUGGGGGUUGGAAAGUUUCGGCGGUUGGGGAUGGACUCGCGGCUUAUCAGCUUGUUGGUGGGGUAGUGGCUUACCAAGGCUUUGACGGGUAGCCGGCCUGAGCGGGUGACCGGCCACAUUGGGACUGAGAUACGGCACAGACUCCUACGGGAGGCAGCAGUGGGGAAUAGUGCACAAUGGGCGGAAGCCUGAUGCAGCAACGCCGCGUGCGGGAUGACGGCCUUCGGGUUGUAAAGCGCUUUCGCCUGUGACGAGGCGUGAGUGACGGUAAUGGGUAAAGAAGCACCGGCUAACUACGUG
rnacentral:rRNA from 1 species